GACGUAGGGCGCGAGCGUUGUCCGGAUUUAUUGGGCGUAAAGAGCUCGUAGGCGGCUUGAUAAGUCGGAUGUGAAACCUCCAGGCUCAACCUGGAGUCGCCAUCCGAUACUGUCAUGGCUAGAGUCCGGUAGGGGCCCACGGAAUUCCUGGUGUAGCGGUGAAAUGCGCAGAUAUCAGGAGGAACACCGGUGGCGAAGGCGGUGGGCUGGGCCGGCACUGACGCUGAGGAGCGAAAGCGUGGGGAGCGAACAGG
rnacentral:rRNA from 1 species